CGUGUAGGCGGUCUCGCAAGUCGGAUGUGAAAGCCCUCGGCUUAACCGAGGAAGUGCGUUCGAAACUACGAGACUUGAGUACCGGAGAGGGUGGCGGAAUUCCCGGUGUAGAGGUGAAAUUCGUAGAUAUCGGGAGGAACACCAGUGGCGAAGGCGGCCACCUGGACGGUCACUGACGCUGAGACGCGAAAGCGUGGGGAGCAAACA
rnacentral:rRNA from 1 species